AUAUCAAUAAGCGGAGGAAAAGAAACCAACAGGGAUUGCCCUAGUAACGGCGAGUGAAGCGGCAACAGCUCAAAUUUGAAAUCUGGCCCUCUCAGGGUCCGAGUUGUAAUUUGCAGAGGGUGCUCCGGCGUCGGCCCCGGGCCAAGUCCCCUGGAACGGGGCGUCCUAGAGGGUGAGAACCCCGUACCCACCCGGGUGCCCUUCGCCGUGUGAAGCCCCUUCGACGAGUCGAGUUGUUUGGGAAUGCAGCUCUAAGCGGGAGGUAAAUUUCUUCUAAAGCUAAAUACCGGCCAGAGACCGAUAGCGCACAAGUAGAGUGAUCGAAAGAUGAAAAGCACUUUGGAAAGAGAGUUAAAAAGCACGUGAAAUUGUUGAAAGGGAAGCUCUUGCCGCCAGACUUGCCGCGGUUGCUCGGCCGCCCUCCGGGGCGGUGUACUCUUCCGUCGGCGGGCCAGCGUCGGUUCGGGCGACCGGAUAAAGGCCCCGGGAAUGUAGCACCUCUCGGGGUGUGUUAUAGCCCGGGGCGCAAUGCGGUCAGCCCGGUCCGAGGCACGCGUUCGCGAGGACGCUGGCGUAAUGGCCGUAAGCGACCCGUCUUGAAACACGGACCAAGGAGUCUAACAUCUGUGCGAGUGUUUGGGCGUCAAACCCAUGCGCGUAAUGAAAGUGAACGGAGGUGGGAACCCCCCUCGAGGGGCGCACCAUCGACCGAUCCUGAUGUCUUCGGAUGGAUUUGAGUAAGAGCAUAGCUGUUGGGACCCGAAAGAUGGUGAACUAUUCCCGGAUAGGGUGAAGCCAGAGGAAACUCUGGUGGAGGCUCGCAGCGGUUCUGACGUGCAAAUCGAUCGUCAAAUCUAGGAAUAGGGGCGAAAGACUAAUCGAACCAU
rnacentral:rRNA from 1 species